GAUGAAUGCUAGCGAUAGGCUUAACACAUGCAAGUCGAGGGGCAGCGAGGGUAGCAAUACCUGUCGGCGACCGGCGCACGGGUGAGUAACGCGUAUGUAACCUGCCCGCAACAGGGGGAUAACCCGGCGAAAGUCGGACUAAUACCGCAUAAAACAGGGGUCCCGCAUGGGAAUAUUUGUUAAAGAUUUAUCGGUUGCGGAUGGGCAUGCGUACCAUUAGGUAGUUGGUGAGGUAACGGCUCACCAAGCCUUCGAUGGUUAGGGGUUCUGAGAGGAAGGUCCCCCACACUGGUACUGAGACACGGACCAGACUCCUACGGGAGGCAGCAGUGAGGAAUAUUGGUCAAUGGGCGAGAGCCUGAACCAGCCAAGUCGCGUGAAGGAUGACUGCCCUAUGGGUUGUAAACUUCUUUUACAAGGGAAUAAAAUGAGAUACGUGUAUUUUAUUGCAUGUACCUUGGGAAUAAGCAUCGGCUAACUCCGUG
rnacentral:rRNA from 1 species